rnacentral:rRNA from 1 species
UGAGGAAUAUUGGUCAAUGGACGAGAGUCUGAACCAGCCAAGUAGCGUGCAGGAUGACGGCCCUAUGGGUUGUAAACUGCUUUUGUAUGGGGAUAAAGUCAAUCACGUGUGAUUGUUUGCAGGUACCAUAUGAAUAAGGACCGGCUAAUUCCGUGCCAGCAGCCGCGGUAAUACGGAAGGUCCGGGCGUUAUCCGGAUUUAUUGGGUUUAAAGGGAGCGUAGGCCGGAGAUUAAGUGUGUUGUGAAAUGUAGACGCUCAACGUCUGACUUGCAGCGCAUACUGGUUUCCUUGAGUACGCACAACGUUGGCGGAAUUCGUCGUGUAGCGGUGAAAUGCUUAGAUAUGACGAAGAACUCCGAUUGCGAAGGCAGCUGACGGGAGCGCAACUGACGCUUAAGCUCGAAGGUGCGGGUAUCGAACAGGAUUAGAUACCCUGGUAGUCCGCACAGUAAACGAUGGAUGCCCGCUGUUGGUACCUGGUAUCAGCGGCUAAGCGAAAGCAUUAAGCAUCCCACCUGGGGAGUACGCCGGCAACGGUG